rnacentral:rRNA from 1 species
GACAGAGGUGGCGAGCGUUGUUCGGAUUUACUGGGCGUAAAGCGUGGGUAGGCGGUUCGGCCAGUCAGAUGUGAAAUCCCACCGCUUAACGGUGGAACGGCGUCUGAUACUACCGAACUCGAGUGCAGGAGAGGAGAGUGGAAUUUCCGGUGUAGCGGUGAAAUGCGUAGAGAUCGGAAGGAACACCAGUGGCGAAGGCGGCUCUCUGGACUGCAACUGACGCUGAGACACGAAAGCGUGGGUAGCAAACAGG